UGCAGAGACAGAGAGAGAGGAAUAAGGUGACGAUAACCCGAUCAUCCAAGUGGGGAAUGAUGACCAUCAUCACCAUCAUCAUCUGGUCGGAUUGACCAUAAAGGAGAACAAUAAACAAAGGAUGACUGUUCUUAUUCAUGUCCUCCAAGGAAGAAUGGUGGUUUGGUAUUAAUACAUUAUCCAAUUAUGGAUUUAUUGAUUUUCUAUACAUUUAUCAAUUUUAUAGGAUCGGAACAAUGCUCGAGUUUCUAUUACAUAGAAAUAGACUUUAAGCGGAUUAUUAUUCAUGUAGAACAAGGAAUUAACAUCAAUACUAGACAAAUAAGGGAAUUAGCGUGAUUGAAAACUGUCGGGUAGUAGUUAGAAUUAUGGGAAAAUGAAAUUGAAUGGAAUCAAAGAACACAGGAUUUUGUGUUACUUAUCGGAUUAUUAUGAAAUGGAUGUGACUUUAUCAGAUGAAAUAAUAACCGGUUAAGUCCAACCUGUCUGCGGUAUUGUGUUUCUGAUGCAUGGCUUCACCUCCUCCACGACCUCCUACUUUUACCAAUACCAUUAAGUAAUGGAGUUUUGAUACUUAAGUCACUGAGCCGAAUGAACCAUUACUUUCUCCCUGGUAAAACCGAAUUCUACUUCCCAUUAGACCGAAUUUAGUACAGACGAACACUAACGUGCGGUCAUUUCCUUAUCUAUUUCGGAACAUCACCCAUCAUUUCAUUGCGUUUACUAACUGACUGACUGACGGUUGUACGGUAUGAACCAGCUAAAUAUGUGGUGCCCGAGUCAGAAGUGGGUAGUAGGAAUGGAAUGAAAGUACGUAAGCAGACCCGGGUGCCGGGUUUUGAGACUUUCUUUUGCCUCUUGCUUUCCCCGAUAAAUUCGCCAAUAUUGCUUGGCUUGGUAGUUUUCUUUUCCUAUUUUCAUCUCUUUGGGCUCAGUCAGUUAGGUAGGUAGAAGUAAGAAGUUUCUUAAAUUUAAUAAGCAGUAAUCAUGUUAUUAGCUGCUACUUUUAGUGGAAAUUAUUAAAUCUCAGUCAGCGGUAUAUCGAACCGUUUUGUUGUUUGCUGAGUGCGACAGGCUGUAAUUUUUAUGGGUAAUCGUCGUAGGACAUCUUAUAAGUGAUGGACCCCGGUUAUUUAUACAUACAUAGGACCCCGUAAUUUCUUGUGGGUGAUAAAUUAAUUGUGAGGCAAACACGUGCUUUGUUUAUAAAAAUACAUGUCAAUCAUUGACACACAAAAUUAUUUGCGGCCUUAUGUUACGCUCUUUAAAGAAGUGUGCACAUAUGUAUUUAAAACAAGAGAAUAAGAUUCUGCAUAAUAAAUAAAACCAAAUGUGUUGUCUCAUAUUUUCUCGGAGAGGUUUAGCCUAUUUUGGAGUUUUUGUCCAAUUGCUUGUAGCACUCAUGAUAAUUCCCGUGAUAACUUUACUCGUCGCGUACACCGCUGGAACUUCUCGAGAUGGUAGUGGACGACAUCUUUCUUCCCCGGAAAUGGCAUUCGUGGUCAUUUACUGUCUCGGACUCUGUCUCCUGGCAGGAAUUAUAUUUGCUGGAAUUCGCACAGACUCCCUGCAAAGUCUCUACAUCUCGAUCGCCUCUCUCAUGAUUUUGCAAUUGUUCGCUGGCGUGAUUACGAUCCUGUCCUGGAAACCCGACACGUUUUUCACGGACGAGAAAGAAGUCUUGAUAAGAGUGACCUGCCUGACACUCAAUAUCAUUUCGACGAUAACCUACCUCUGCAUACUUAUCUGCUACACGAGCCAUCUCAAAAAUAAGUUACGGGCAGAGUAUGAAGCUGAAGAGGAGGAUUUCUACUAUCACCAGAGCCAGCAGUAGGAUCUAAACCUCGACUUAGAAAAAUUCUUACGUAAUAAGAAGAACGAAAUGGUGACAGCUUGGGUUUCGAUGAUGCAAAGAAAUAGGAAAUUAUUUAAUUUAAACAUUCCUUGACUUGUAUGUAUGUACACGCAAUUUUGGACUAAUUGGUAAUUAGCCAUGUGUUACAAGAGUCCCACAUCAUCCUGCGAGCAUGUGUGUGUACAUGCCCAUAUUUCGUAAUUAUUAAAUAUCACGUCAGCUGCGAAACUAAAUACAUAAAGUGUGUCUGCAAAUGAAUAGCUAAUUUUGUCCUGUGUGUAAAUAAUUGUAGCAUGACACGUGAUAAGAUGAGCUGAUUUUGUGCAUUUCCUUCCUUAUACCAUCUCAAAAAAUGAGUGACACGGUGAGCGAGUAUUAGUGUUAGUAGUGUAGAUUUCCAUUCAGCGAGGUUUGACUAAUUUUAAUUUUUUUCUUCUUUGGAUUAAAAUUCAAUGUCACGAUGUGCUGCUGGCUGGCUGUGUAACAUAAUUUAUUCCUUUUCAAAAUUGUGGGCAGCUACGCUUGUGACCUUAACGGCGGUACUUCAAAGUGACGUGAUUUCAAAAAAUAUAGGAUUUAUUCCAACUUUGUAUGAUUUAAUAUUCCUCUGGAUUUACGAUGUUGGCCUGUUUAUCACUGGAGUGGCCAUUUUUUGCGGAUUAGUUUGGAAACGCCAGCGUUUCCUCUCCUACAUCAUAAUUUUCUUCCUCCUCCUCCAAUCCAUGGCGUUUUCCGUCGUCGUGGUCAUGUUGACGAUGGACCGGUUUAAAAAUACGGGAUUCGGGCCAAUCGUCGAGUCCACGCUGCGUAUGACUCCCAGCUUCGUGAUCUCCGUGAUUGCCGGUUUCCACUGCCUUGGAUCGUUCAUUUAUAUAAUUUUGUUGAUAAUUUGCAUUCACAAGUUGAACGAGAAGUAUAGUCCGUAUUGGAAAUGAUGAAGAAGAAAUUAAUAUGUAAGACAUGAAUAAAUAAUCUUUCACGUUUC